AUCCUUCUCUAAAACAGACCAUAUAUAUGCCAUAAAGCAACUCUUAGCAAACACAAAAAAGUAGAGAUACUACCCUGCAUUCUAUCAGAUCAUAAUGGAAUGAAAUUAGAAAUCAAUGAUAAAAUUAAAAAUAGAAGCUACUCCAACACCUGGAGACUAAAUAAUAUGCUAUUAAAUGAACAAUGGGUUGCAAAAGACACCAAAGAGGAUAUUAAAAAAUUCUUACAGAUAAAUAAGAAUAAUGAUACAACAUAUCAAAACUUCUGGGCACUAUGAAGACUGUACUAAGAGGAAAGUUCAUGGAGUUUAUUCCUUCAAAGAAGAAAAAGUCAAAUAAAUGACCUAAAGCCCUAGAAAAAGAAGGACAAAUCAACAACAAAAGUAAAAGAUAGGAAAUAAUUAAAAUCAGAGUUGAAAUCAGUGAAAUUGAAACAAAAGAAACAAUUGGAAAAAUUGACAAAACGAAAAGUUGGUUCUUUGAAAAAUAAAUAAAAUUGAUAAACCCUUAUCCAUG
rnacentral:lncRNA from 1 species